UCUCCGUUGGUGAACCAGCGGAGGGAUCAUUACAGGACUCGCAAGACUCCUACAACCCUGUGAACUUAACUAUAAGCACGUUGCUUCGGCGGGUGUCUCGGAGGGGGUUCUCCCCCCCCGAGGCGCUAAACCCGCCGGCAGCCUACUAUACUCUGUCUCUUUGCGUUGGCAUCUCGAGUACAAUCAAACAAGUUAAAACUUUCAACAACGGAUCUCUUGGUUCUG
rnacentral:misc_RNA from 1 species